AGUGAACGCUGGCGGCGUGCUUAACACACGCAAGUCGAACGAGAACGGAUUAUAGCUUGCUAUAAUUGUCAGCUAAGUGGCGCACGGGUGAGUAAUGUAUAGGUAAUAUGCCUCUUACUAAGGGAUAACAAAUGGAAACGUUUGCUAAUACCUUAUACUCCUUAUUAACAGAAGUUAAUAAGGGAAAGAUUUAUUGGUAAGAGAUUAGCCUGUAUUGUAUCAGUUAGUUGGUGGGGUAAUGGCUUACCAAGACUAUGACACAUAACUGGUUUGAAAGGAUGAUCAGUCACACUGGAACUGAGACACGGUGCAGACUCCUACGGGAGGCAGCAGUGGGGAAUAUUGCACAAUGGACGAAAGUCUGAUGCAGCAACGCCGCGUGGAGGAUGACACAUUUCGGUGCGUAAACUCCUUUUAUAUGAGAAGAUAAUGACGGUAUUAUAUGAAUAAGCACCGGCUAACUCCGUGCCAGCCGCCGCGGUAA
rnacentral:rRNA from 1 species